UACGGGGGGGGCGAGCGUUGUUCGGAAUCACUGGGCGUAAAGGGCGCGUAGGCGGCCCGCACAAGUCUGCGGUGAAAACCCCCGGCUUAACCGGGGGCCGGCCGUGGAAACUGUCGGGCUGGAGGCUGGGAGAGGGCAGCGGAAUUCCCGGUGUAGCGGUGAAAUGCGUAGAGAUCGGGAGGAACACCGGCGGCGAAGGCGGCUGCCUGGACCCAGUCCUGACGCUGAGGCGCGAAAGCUAGGGGAGCAAACAGGG
rnacentral:rRNA from 1 species